GACACGACUCUCGGCAAUGGAUAUCUCGGCUCUCGCAUCGAUGAAGAGCGCACGAAAUGCGAUACGUGGUGCGAAUUGCAGAAUCCCGCGAAC
rnacentral:rRNA from 1 species